AUUGAACGCUGGCGGAAUGCUUUACACAUGCAAGUCGAGCGGCAGCGCGGGGCAACCUGGCGGCGAGCGGCGAACGGGUGAGUAAUACAUCGGAACGUGCCCAGACGUGGGGGAUAACUACUCGAAAGAGUGGCUAAUACCGCAUACGAUCUACGGAUGAAAGCGGGGGAUCGCAAGACCUCGCGCGUCUGGAGCGGCUGAUGGCAGAUUAGGUAGUUGGUGGGAUAAAAGCCUACCAAGCCAACGAUCUGUAGCUGGUCUGAGAGGAUGAUCAGCCACACUGGGACUGAGACACGGCCCAGACUCCUACGGGAGGCAGCAGUGGGGAAUUUUGGACAAUGGGCGAAAGCCUGAUCCAGCCAUGCCGCGUGUGUGAAGAAGGCCUGCGGGUUGUAAAGCACUUUCAGUGGGGAAGAACAGAUUCGGGUCAAUACCCCGGAGCCCUGACGUUACCCACAGAAGAAGCACCGGCUAACUCCGUGCCA
rnacentral:rRNA from 1 species